UACAGAGGGGGCAAGCGUUGUUCGGAAUUACUGGGCGUAAAGGGCGCGUAGGCGGCCCGCUAAGUCGAACGUGAAAUCCCCGAGCUCAACUCGGGAACUGCGUCCGAUACUGGCGGGCUUGAAUCCGGGAGAGGGAUGCGGAAUUCCAGGUGUAGCGGUGAAAUGCGUAGAUAUCUGGAGGAACACCAGAGGCGAAAGCGCCUUCCUGGACGGUCAUUGACGCUGAGGCGCGAAAGCUAGGGUAGCAAACGGG
rnacentral:rRNA from 1 species